rnacentral:tRNA from 1 species
GCGACCUGGACAGGACACGGAGCAGGUGCCUUCUAAGCACUUGGCCGCAGGUUCGAGUCCUGCCGGGGGCGCCA